rnacentral:rRNA from 1 species
CAGCCGCCGCGGUAAUACCGGCAGCCCGAGUGAUGGCCGAUCUUAUUGGGCCUAAAGCGUCCGUAGCUGGCCGCACAAGUCCAUCGGAAAAUCCACCCGCUCAACGGGUGGGCGUCCGGUGGAAACUGUGUGGCUUGGGACCGGAAGGCGCGACGGGUACGUCCGGGGUAGGAGUGAAAUCCUGUAAUCCUGGACGGACCGCCGAUGGCGAAAGCACGUCGCGAGAACGGAUCCGACAGUGAGGGACGAAAGCUAGGGUCUCGAACCGGAUUAGAUACCCGGGUAGUCCUAGCCGUAAACGAUGCCUGCUAGGUGUGGCUCCCACUACGAGUGGGUGCUGUGCCGUAGGGAAGCCGCUAAGCAGGCCGCCUGGGAAGUACGUCCGCAAGGAUGAAACUUAAAGGAAUUGGCGGG